UACGUAGGCAGCGAGCGUUGUUCGGAAUUACUGGGCGUAAAGAGUGUGUAGGCGGUGCUCUAAGUUCGGUGUGAAAUCUCCUGGCUCAACUGGGAGGGUGCGCCGGAAACUGGAGUGCUUGAGCGUGGGAGAGGAAAGCGGAAUUCCUGGUGUAGCGGUGAAAUGCGUAGAUAUCAGGAGGAACACCGGUGGCGAAGGCGGAUCUCUGGGCCAUUACUGACGCUGAGGAGCGAAAGCGUGGGGAGCGAACAGG
rnacentral:rRNA from 1 species